GUCGUGUUCUCCAAGGCAGCCAUAUUUGUGUCAAAGAAAAGUCGGGCUUAUGAUUUAAUCGGUGCUGGGGCUUUAACUGCUAUUGCCAGAAACCUAGAGUCUUUUGAGUUUUGAAGUUAUUGCUGAUAGUUUGUUAGUUGAGUGGCCAGAUAAGAGAAGAAACUGAGCAAGGCGACCUUUCCAGUUGUUUUUGCAGUCAAUCUGUGCACCAGCUUUGCUGCCAGCACUCUGAGCUUGGCAACUGAUACAGCCACCAAGGAAGACAAGAACAGAUUACCAGUUGUCUUAGCUGUGCUGGCAUCCUAUGACGAAGGCCUUGCCCGGGGACUUGUUCUGUCUCUGUGCUGCAGAAGUUUUGGUUUGAAUUCUAAGUGAUCUCUAAA
rnacentral:sRNA from 1 species